rnacentral:rRNA from 1 species
GAUGAACGCUGGCGGCGUGCCUAAUACAUGCAAGUCGAGCGAAUGGAUUAAGAGCUUGCUCUUAUGAAGUUAGCGGCGGACGGGUGAGUAACACGUGGGUAACCUGCCCAUAAGACUGGGAUAACUCCGGGAAACCGGGGCUAAUACCGGAUAACAUUUUGAACCGCAUGGUUCGAAAUUGAAAGGCGGCUUCGGCGGUCCCUUAUGGAUGGACCCGCGUCGCAUUAGCUAGUUUGUGAGGUAACGGCUAACCAAGGCAACGAUGCGUAGCCGACCUGAGAGGGUGAUCGGCCACACUGGGACUGAGACACAGCCCAGACUCCUACGGGAGGCAGCAGUAGGGAAUCUUCCGCAAUGGACGAAAGUCUGACGGAGCAACGCCGCGUGAGUGAUGAAGGCUUUCGGGUCGUAAAACUCUGUUGUUAGGGAAGAACAAGUGCUAGUUGAAUAAGCUGGCACCUUGACGGUACCUAACCAGAAAGCCACGGCUAACUACGUGCCAGCCGCCGCGGUAA